rnacentral:rRNA from 1 species
UACGAAGGGGGCUAGCGUUGCUCGGAAUCACUGGGCGUAAAGCGCACGUAGGCGGAUCUUUAAGUCAGGGGUGAAAUCCUGGAGCUCAACUCCAGAACUGCCUCUGAUACUGGGGAUCUUGAGUCCGGAAGAGGUAAGUGGAACUGCGAGUGUAGAGGUGAAAUUCGUAGAUAUUCGCAAGAACACCAGUGGCGGAGGCGGCUUACUGGUCCGGUACUGACGCUGAGGUGCGAAAGCGUGGGGAGCAAACAGGG